rnacentral:rRNA from 2 species
UGGUACAAUAGUGAAUUGGCACUAAUGCACCGGAUCCCAUCAGAACUCCGUAGUUAAGCGUGCUUGGGCGAGAGUAGUACUAGGAUGGGUGACCUCCCGGGAAGUCCUCGUGUUGCACCCC